CUUGUAGGUAGUAAUAGUGGUGACGACGAUGAUUACGAUGACGUUAUCACGGAGAAGGAGGAGGAUGUGAUGAUCUGCAAAUAGAAUCGCGAAUUACAACUGUUUCUGCUAUGUCCAUAGAAUCCUGAGGGUGAGGGGCAUGAAUCCUUGGAGUUACUGUCUAUUCCGUAUACAACUGGCUGGUG